rnacentral:rRNA from 1 species
AAAUUGAAGAGUUUGAUCAUGGCUCAGAUUGAACGCUGGCGGCAGGCCUAACACAUGCAAGUCGAACGGUAACAGGAAGCAGCUUGCUGCUUCGCUGACGAGUGGCGGACGGGUGAGUAAUGUCUGGGAAACUGCCUGAUGGAGGGGGAUAACUACUGGAAACGGUAGCUAAUACCGCAUAACGUCGCAAGACCAAAGAGGGGGACCUUCGGGCCUCUUGCCAUCGGAUGUGCCCAGAUGGGAUUAGCUAGUAGGUGGGGUAACGGCUCACCUAGGCGACGAUCCCUAGCUGGUCUGAGAGGAUGACCAGCCACACUGGAACUGAGAC